rnacentral:pre_miRNA from 1 species
GAAUAUAAUAACUUAAAAUCGAAUGGGACGUAUCCUAUUACUAUAAGUCUGAUAAGUCUGGAUAUGAGGCAUGUCUAGAUUCGUAGUAUUAGGAUACGUCUCAUCCGGUUUUAGGGUGCUAUAUUC